rnacentral:rRNA from 1 species
GACGAACGCUGGCGGCGUGCUUAACACAUGCAAGUCGAACGGAAAGGCCCUGCUUUUGUGGGGUGCUCGAGUGGCGAACGGGUGAGUAACACGCGAGUAACCUGCCCUUGACUUUGGGAUAACUUCAGGAAACUGGGGCUAAUACCGGAUAGGAGCUCCUGCUGCAUGGUGGGGGUUGGAAAGUUUCGGCGGUUGGGGAUGGACUCGCGGCUUAUCAGCUUGUUGGUGGGGUAGUGGCUUACCAAGGCUUUGACGGGUAGCCGGCCUGAGAGGGUGACCGGCCACAUUGGGACUGAGAUACGGCCCAGACUCCUACGGGAGGCAGCAGUGGGGAAUAUUGCACAAUGGGCGGAAGCCUGAUGCAGCAACGCCGCGUGCGGGAUGACGGCCUUCGGGUUGUAAACCGCUUUCGCCUGUGACGAAGCGUGAGUGACGGUAAUGGGUAAAGAAGCACCGGCUAACUACGUGCCAGCAGCCGCGGUGAUACGUAGGGUGCGAGCGUUGUCCGGAUUUAUUGGGCGUAAAGGGCUCGUAGGUGGUUGAUCGCGUCGGAAGUGUAAUCUUGGGGCUUAACCCUGAGCGUGCUUUCGAUACGGGUUGACUUGAGGAAGGUAGGGGAGAAUGGAAUUCCUGGUGGAGCGGUGGAAUGCGCAGAUAUCAGGAGGAACACCAGUGGCGAAGGCGGUUCUCUGGGCCUUUCCUGACGCUGAGGAGCGAAAGCGUGGGGAGCGAACAGGCUUAGAUACCCUGGUAGUCCACGCUGUAAACGGUGGGUACUAGGUGUGGGGUCCAUUCCACGGGUUCCGUGCCGUAGCUAACGCUUUAAGUACCCCGCCUGGGGAGUACGGCCGCAAGGCUAAAACUCAAAGGAAUUGACGGGGCCCCGCACAAGCGGCGGAGCAUGCGGAUUAAUUCGAUGCAACGCGUAGAACCUUACCUGGGUUUGACAUGGAUCGGGAGUGCUCAGAGAUGGGUGUGCCUCUUUUGGGGUCGGUUCACAGGUGGUGCAUGGCUGUCGUCAGCUCGUGUCGUGAGAUGUUGGGUUAAGUCCCGCAACGAGCGCAACCCUUGUUCACUGUUGCCAGCACGUUAUGGUGGGGACUCAGUGGAGACCGCCGGGGUCAACUCGGAGGAAGGUGGGGAUGACGUCAAGUCAUCAUGCCCCUUAUGUCCAGGGCUUCACGCAUGCUACAAUGGCUGGUACAGAGAGUGGCGAGCCUGUGAGGGUGAGCGAAUCUCGGAAAGCCGGUCUCAGUUCGGAUUGGGGUCUGCAACUCGACCUCAUGAAGUCGGAGUCGCUAGUAAUCGCAGAUCAGCAACGCUGCGGUGAAUACGUUCCCGGGGCU